rnacentral:rRNA from 1 species
GGUUUCGGACCAAGAGACCGGCGCACGGGUGCGUAACGCGUAUGCAAUCUACCUUUGCAGAGGGAUAGCCCAGAGAAAUUUGGAUUAAUACCUCAUAGUAUAGUACUUUGGCAUCAAGGAACUAUUAAAGUCACAACGGCAAAAGAUGAGCAUGCGUCCCAUUAGCUAGUUGGUAAGGUAACGGCUUACCAAGGCUACGAUGGGUAGGGGUCCUGAGAGGGAGAUCCCCCACACUGGUACUGAGACACGGACCAGACUCCUACGGGAGGCAGCAGUGAGGAAUAUUGGACAAUGGGCGCAAGCCUGAUCCAGCCAUGCCGCGUGCAGGAUGACGGUCCUAUGGAUUGUAAACUGCUUUAUACAGGAAGAAACACUCCGACGUGUCGGAGCUUGACGGUACUGUAAGAAUAAGGAUCGGCUAACUCCGUG